rnacentral:lncRNA from 1 species
CAAGUCGAGUCUAAUCACAAACUUGGUUAAAGCCCGCUCUUAACCUGGAUGUAAACAAACACAUCUACCAGCAUAUAAUGAAACUCAUCCCAAAACAAAAUCAGAACUUCUAAAAUUUAGUUAUAAAGAUACACAUCUACAUGCAAUUAUAGCAAUAACUUUCCAUGACACAGAUCAUAUAAGUUGAUCUACAACUCUUCAUACAACGCAAAGACUGCUCAUCAAGAAUGGGACUAGCUAAUUCAUAACUUGCAUAUAAAGAAAGGUAUCCAAGACGGUCUAAAUCCAGAUACAGAGCUAGAGAUGUUCAUAAAAGCUUGUUAAUGUUGAUUAACAUACAAAGUUUUUAGUACCCAAAGGACAAAUCCAAAAUAUAUCCCCACAAUCACAAGUCAUCUUUCCUACGAUCCACAAACC